rnacentral:rRNA from 1 species
AACGAACGCUGGCGGCAGGUCUUAGGCAUGCAAGUCGAACGGGUGUAGCAAUACAUCAGUGGCGCACGAGUGAGUAACGCGUGGGAAGCUGCCCUUCACUGGGGAAUAACGUUUGGAAACGAACGCUAAUACCGCAUACGCCGGAAACGGGAAAGAUUUAUCGGUGAAGGAUGCGCCCGCGUUGGAUUAGCUUGUUGGUGGGGUAACGGCCUACCAAGGCGAUGAUCCAUAGCUGGUCUGAGAGGACGAUCAGCCACGCUGGAACUGAGACACGGUCCAGACUCCUACGGGAGGCAGCAGCUAAGAAUAUUGGACAAUGGGGGAAACCCUGAUCCAGCCAUGCCGCGUGAAUGAAGAAGGCCUUCGGGUUGUAAAGUUCUUUUAGUCGUGAAGAUGAUGACAGUAGCGACAGAAAAAGCACCGGCUAACUUCGUGCCAGCCGCCGCCGUAA